UACGAAGGGAGCUAGCGUUGUUCGGAAUUACUGGGCGUAAAGGGCGCGUAGGCGGUUCGACAAGUUGGAUGUGAAAGCCCGGGGCUCAACCCCGGAAUAGCAUUCAAGACUGUCUUACUUGAAUUCGGUAGAGGUUGGUGGAAUUCCCAGUGUAGAGGUGAAAUUCGUAGAGAUUGGGAAGAACACCGGUGGCGAAGGCGGCCAACUGGACCGACAUUGACGCUGAGGCGCGAAAGCGUGGGGAU
rnacentral:rRNA from 1 species